CCUAAGCCUGACCUCUGAGGGGCCUUGCAGGGAACCCAGCAGCCAGGUGGACUUUUCCAGCUCUGGAUGAAUGUGAACAGGGCCAUGCCUGGGGCCGAGUCAUCGCUUGCUCACCGACCUUCGGGAUCCUCCACCUGAGGGCCAGAAUGCUCUCCGGUGCUCGAGCCCUGUUAGGCCACCUGGUUCCACACUACAAAGACGCAGAGGACAACGGACCACCAGGCCACGGUACUGAGUCCCGCUGCUCCCGGCACAGAGCCCUAGGUGGUCGGCACAGGUGCUGCUGCCUCCCGGGCACCUGCCCUUCUGGCUGCUGUCUGGUGUCCCCUCCAGCCUCAUUCAGAAUGAGCCAGCAUUUGCACGGUGCCCGGCUGUGUCCUGCCAGCCUUCCCUCCACCAGGACACCCUGGAACCUUGUCCUCAUUGCUGACUGUGUGCCCCUGGACUCCCGCCCUGAGCUCACAGCGUGUCCUUCAGCCACCGUCUCUGAAAAUCCACGGUCUGAUAACUCGAUGACUCUCACAGCAAUCCCAGCCCUUGUUUCACGGUGGCAGAGCCAGCUGUCGCUCUCCCCACCAGUGCUAGGACAGCAGGACAGAGCUGAGACCACUGCAGCCAGGAAGCAACGUGCCAGUAGCUGGGUCCACGGGUCUCAGCUUCCGCACAGACUCAGGCCUGGUGCUCAUCGUUCCACCCUGCCUCUCACUUGGCCAGAGCACGAAAUUCGUAAAGUGUCCCAGAGAACACGUGGCUCUGUCGGGGGCCACAUCCUGCGGUGAAGUGAAUCCAAUGUCUCAGGCCCUUCCCAGGCUGGCUUCCUCUUCUACCUGUCUCUCUGACUCCUGCCAGCCCCAUCGAGCAUUCUUGAGACACAAGUCACCUUCCUCUGUCCUAGCCCAGCUGCUGGGUGCUCCCUGCACCUCCCUCUGCGUGUCCCCUGCCGCCCAGGGCUGGUGCUGCUCCUGUGUCCCCUUCUGAGACAGCACUUGCUGAGCACUGACCGCCCCGCUGCCCACGCCACCCACAGAACUGACCCUGCUCUCAGACUGCCUUGGUUUGAGUGUGUCCUCUGCACUUGCUGCGGCUUGUUUCUGGCACCUGGCAGCUGGUGCACAUCCAGCAUUUGUUGAAUAAGUGAGAAAUGGCAAAGGAGGGCAGGCAUUCCUCCCCCGGCCCUGUGCUACUCCAGCUGUGGGAUUUCCCAAGUCUGCUGAGCACCACCCCUGCCGCCACUGUCCUGGGCACUGGAAAAUGGCUGGGCAUAGGGCAAAGGUCUGGGGGACAGAGAGGCAACCUGGUCAGAAUGAGAAGCCACCCACCCAGUGCCCCGAGCCUCCUCUGCUCCCUGGGCCUUGCAUGGAAGGGGUGUCCUGCCCUCUCCACCUUGCUCUGUUAGCCCAGGAUGGUCCCCGCCUAGGGGCUGCAUUCCGCAGGGGGAGAGCUGAGCCUCAGGGACCUCGGGCAAAAGCAGGCUGCUGUGAGUGCCUGCCAUGUGGGGAGGCCUUGGGGUGCGGUGACUUCAUUUUCAUACCGUAAUUCGGAGGGCAGCCUCCACACGACUUCUGCGGCACUUUUCUUGCUAAGAAGCUGACUUGACUGCGAAUCACAGGGGCCUAGGCCACUCGCGGUCACUCAGCACAGGGCUCCCUGUCCCUCCCUUCCAAGGUGCCCGGCUUAGGGAACCCACCAGCGACGAAGCUGGAGGCCCUCCCGUGGGUGACCUAUCCAUACAGGGCAGAGAAGGAACUGAGUGGCUUGGGGACGUCCCUAACCUUU